UGGUUUCUCCCACUGACCUGGGUUUUACCCACAGUCCACAAAUUUCCACAGGAUGGAGGCUGGAACGUUAAGUUGUCCUGAUUUAUCCAGUAAAACCAGUUUGAACUCUGACCAGGUGAUGGACUGUGGCAGGAAACCAACCAGCUCAAUAGGAAGGUUAGUCCGACAUCAUGGCUUUUGGAACAUGGCGGUCGUCUUCUCCUCCAGCAGAGCUAGCAGUUAGUUAUCAGAGUAGCACCUCAACCAGAACCAGACGGGUCCUAAAGUCAAACAGAUCCUAACGCUGAUCUCUGUGUCUCUCCCCAGUCGAUCCAGCCUCAACGCCCAGCCGGACGACCUCAAGCUGAACUGUGGCGAUCAGGACUUCACCGCCGCCAUCAUCAGCAUUCCGACUCCGCCUGCCAACACGCCGGACGAGAGUCUGCCUCCGUCGCCGAUGCCCGUCCCCGGCAUCCUGCGGAACACCCGGGCCACCGCCUAUACCCAUGAAACCGUCAAGAUCUCUUCCUUAUAACCUCUGACCCCUGCUCCCCCAGACUCCAAUCCUCCCACUCUGAACCUCUGGUUCUGAUCCAUGGCUCGGGAUCAGCCGGAUCUUUGGAGCUGCAGGAAGAUCAGAUGAGCAUGAAGCUGAAGCUGCAGAAUCUUUAGAUUUUAUUCUCCUGAGAACGUUCAGGAAUCAGAACCUUGAGCCAGUCCAACACCCCCGACACCGUCCAUCUCUCCUGGGCCGGGUCGUCCUGGACCAGCUAAACCAGCUGGUCCAGCUGUUUCUUUCUUUGGGUUUGGUUCUGUUUAAAUGGGUCGGAUGGAAAGCGGCGCUGUCUAGAAAUGAAUCUUGUUGGAGUGACUGAACUCAGGUUUUUGGGUUGAGCUGGAAGCUGAGUGGUUCGGCCCGGUUUUCAGUGAGAACCGGGUUCGUUAUGGGAUUGAAUCCAGGAUCCAGAGACGGAAUCUUCAGGAUUAACGAUGCAGGUUUGGAUCGCUUUGUUCUGAAGAAUGGAAACACUAGUGAUGGAACCAACGGCCCAAUCCGGACCCGACCAAUUCUCUCCUCCUGCAACUGAACCUUUGGAGUGCUGCAUGCAGGUUCUGAUCCAAACUGCUCUUGUUCUGCUUGUUCAAUGCGGACCAAGAACCUUUUGCUCUUUAAAAUAUGCAACGUCUCUCUGGUGAGGAAACCAGAACCAGGAGGUGAACAGAACUCCAGCAGAACCGCAAAACGGACGGGUUUCAUUUGUCAUGUGACAGGAAGAUUAUAGGAGGAAGUGCCUGAAGAUUCCCCAGAUGGAGGUUCUGAUGAUCCGGUUGACGUGCGUCUACCUGUCAGACGGUCCAGACAGAACCAGAAUCAGAACCAACUGAUGCCACCAGAGUCACAUGACCAACCAGCUGCUUCUGACCCGUUCUAGUCCUUUGGUAGGUUCUGGUUCUGUUUGGUUUCUGGUCCAAAUAAAGCAGUCAGAGGCUCCAGCUGAAGAGUUCUGGGCAGAACCGAGGACCGGGUCCAACUGAUGAUCCAGUGGAACCACUCAGCUGCUGGAGGUUCUGGUCCAACUUGACGUGACCUUUGACCUUCCCAGUUUGAUGACAGGCACUCACAUUAGCUGAGUUGUUGGAAGGCGUCACGAUCCAGAUGGUUCUGUUUCAGUACCUUCAGUUUGUUCUGGGUCGGUGACUUUCUGGUUCGGGUCCAACUGGUAUCAUGGUUCUGGUUCAUCUUGAAACUCUGGUGGCCCGGAGACGGCGGGUCGGAGUCGAUCCGGCGGGUCGGAGUCGAUCCGGCGGGUCGGAGCGCUGCUGUCUCCAAACUGGCCACCAGGUGGCAGAAUUGAACAACAUGGGAUCUUUAGCUGCUGCAGUUGAACUGGUGUUUGUCCUGGUCGGCCCGGUUCUGAAGUCCAACACCGAAUGUUUCCAACAAUCUUACAUAAAUUUAACGACAUAAAGACAAACAAACAUGGUCAAAAUUUCUGCUGUUUGGAGGAAAAGAUGAAACACUCUUCCUACUCCGUCUUUCCAUCUCCGUAAGGAGCAGGAAGCAAGACAGGAAACAGGAAGUAGCAUGUUGACCCGGCUGGGAGAACCUGAAGGCGCAGUUUCUCCAGCAGAGCAGACUGAAUGCUGUAACAUAUUUUGUAUCAUAAAUGCUCCAACCAAAACAGAGACGGUUAGAUGGAGGAGUCAGGGAGCCGCUGGUGAUCCUCCUGCAUGAGCCUCGUAGACGUAGCUCCGCCCAUCAUCUAUCUACCUAACAAACAGAGGAAGAGGAAGAAGAAGAGCUCUUCUUUUGUCCUUUUGCAUGAUGAUGUUGAUGAUGAUGAUGAUGAUGAUGAUGAUGAUGAUGAUGAUGAUGCAAUGAGGGAGGAAACAGCAUUAAAGCACACAGGUGUAUAAUCCAUUCCACUAAUAAAGAGCAACAGAAACUGAAGAAAAUGUCUGCCGGAUUUCUUUCAGCCUCAAACUCAACAGCUCCGCCUGCUGGUCACAGUGCAAACAACACGGACUUCCUGUUUACUGAGCGGAGCAGGAAAGAGAUGCUGCCAUCUCGCGGUCAGAGUGUGAAACUGCCGCAUCAGUCCCAAGUUUUUCUUUUUAAAAGAUGAUUGUAUUAUUAAGCAGUAAAAAGGAGAAAAAGGA